UAUAGCUAGACGUAUCGUAAAUUACAAUAAUUGUUAUUUAAGUAAAUUGUAAUUAUUUAAAAAAAAAAUAAUGUCCCAGAAAUUUGUUAUCAUACUUUUAAUAGUGCUAUUAAUAGCUCUUUUCGAAAUGGUGCAAUGUCGAGUGAGAUAUAGUUCUAGACUUGGCGUUAAAGGCAUUGGAAAAAAUUGUGAAUAUCUUGAUCAUAAUGACAAGUGUGUUCCCAAACAGCAAAGUUCAUUAAAAAGACAAGUUGGAAAAAAAAUUAAAGCAUAUCCAAAGGCGAGUAAAUAUGCUGUUGAAAAAGAAGAUAGUCCCAGCUGGUAUCAAAAAUGGUUUGGCUGAUAAGAAUCUAACAAAAAAUAUUCAAUAAUACAAAUGUUAUAAAUAAAAUUCAAUUCAGUGUGUUCGUAUAUAAAACAUUCAGUAAAACCUAAAAAUAAAA